rnacentral:rRNA from 1 species
GACGAACGCUGGCGGCGUGCUUAACACAUGCAAGUCGAACGGAAAGGCCCUGCUUUUGUGGGGUGCUCGAGUGGCGAACGGGUGCGUAACACGUGAGUAACCUGCCCUUGACUUUGGGAUAACUUCAGGAAACUGGGGCUAAUACCGGAUAGGAGCUCCUGCUGCAUGGUGGGGGUUGGAAAGUUUCGGCGGUUGGGGAUGGACUCGCGGCUUAUCAGCUUGUUGGUGGGGUAGUGGCUUACCAAGGCUUUGACGGGUAGCCGGCCUGAGAGGGUGACCGGCCACAUUGGGACUGAGAUACGGCCCAGACUCCUACGGGAGGCAGCAGUGGGGAAUAUUGCACAAUGGGCGGAAGCCUGAUGCAGCAACGCCGCGUGCGGGAUGACGGCCUUCGGGUUGUAAACCGCUUUAGCCUGUGACGAAGCGUGAGUGACGGUAAUGGGUAAAGAAGCACCGGCUAACUACGUG